CCUACGGGAGGCAGCAGUGAGGAAUAUUGGUCAAUGGGCGGAAGCCUGAACCAGCCAAGUAGCGUGCGGGAUGAAGGCCCUACGGGUCGUAAACCGCUUUUGCACGGGGAUAACACCCUCCACUUGUGGAGGUCUGCAGGUACCGUGCGAAUAAGGGCCGGCUAAUUCCGUGCCAGAAGCCGCGGUAAUAGGGGAGGCCCGAGCGUUGUCCGGUUUCAUUGGGCUAAAAGGGAGAGUAGGCGGGCGUUCAAGUCAGCUGUAAAAUCGCGGGGUUCAACCGCGCCCCGCAGUUGAAACUGGACGACUUGAGUGCACAACAGGCAGGCGGAAUUCGUGGUGUAGCGGUGAAAUGCGUAGAUAUCACGAGGAACCCCGAUUGCGAAGGCAGCCUGCCGGGGUGCGACUGACGCUGAGGCUCGAAGGUGCGGGUAUCAAACAGGAUUAGAUACCCCGGUAGUC
rnacentral:rRNA from 1 species